rnacentral:rRNA from 1 species
GACGAACGCUGGCGGCGUGCUUAACACAUGCAAGUCGAACGGAAAGGCCCUGCUUUUGUGGUGUGCUCGAGUGGCGAACGGGUGAGUAACACGUGAGUAACCUGCCCUUGACUUUGGGAUAACUUCAGGAAACUGGGGCUAAUACCGGAUAGGAGCUCCUGCUGCAUGGUGGGGGUUGGAAAGUUUCUGCGGUUGGGGAUGGACUCGCGGCUUAUCAGCUUGUUGGUGGGGUAGUGGCUUACCAAGGCUUUGACGGGUAGCCGGCCUGGGGGGGUGACCGGCCACAUUGGGACUGAGCUACGGCCCAGACUCCUACGGGAGGCAGCAGUGGGGAAUAUUGCACAAUGGGCGGAAGCCUGAUGCAGCAACGCCGCGUGCGGGAUGACGGCCUUCGGGUUGUAAACCGCUUUCGCCUGUGACGAAGCGUGAGUGACGGUAAUGGGUAAAGAAGCACCGGCUAACUACGUG